rnacentral:rRNA from 1 species
AACGAACGCUGGCGGCAUGCCUAACACAUGCAAGUCGAACGAGACCUUCGGGUCUAGUGGCGCACGGGUGCGUAACGCGUGGGAAUCUACCCUUGGGUUCGGAAUAACUCAGAGAAAUUUGAGCUAAUACCGGAUGAUGUCGCAAGACCAAAGAUUUAUCGCCCAAGGAUGAGCCCGCGUAGGAUUAGCUUGUUGGUGAGGUAAAAGCUCACCAAGGCGACGAUCCUUAGCUGGUCUGAGAGGAUGAUCAGCCACACUGGGACUGAGACACGGCCCAGACUCCUACGGGAGGCAGCAGUGGGGGAAUAUUGGACAAUGGGCGAAAGCCUGAUCCAGCAAUAGCCGCGUGAGUGAUGAAGGCCUUA